GAUCCGCUUUUUGAAUUGGACGUUUGAAGUAGGAAAUUAUCUAAAUUACAGGAGUCUCUCACCACACCCAGACCUCAGGAAUGAGCCUAUUGGUUUUUUAGUUUAUAUGUGUCAGGAGAGGCAUCGCCUUCGCCCUCUUCCUAAUAGUUUUUUGGACAAAUCGGAAGCGUCUCUGAUCCAGCCUGCUCCACACCUGCGGUGCACCGAGCCUGCUGUCAGCGACCUGUGCGCCUCAACAUGGGGAACCCUUCGGCGAUCCUCUCAAUGAUCGGUAACUUGCUGCUCUGGAUGA